UUUCCACCGGAGCUUGCUCCACCGGAAAAAGAAGAGUGGCGAACGGGUGAGUAACACGUGGGUAACCUGCCCAUCAGAAGGGGAUAACACUUGGAAACAGGUGCUAAUACCGUAUAACAAUCGAAACCGCAUGGUUUUGAUUUGAAAGGCGCUUUCGGGUGUCGCUGAUGGAUGGACCCGCGGUGCAUUAGCUAGUUGGUGAGGUAACGGCUCACCAAGGCCACGAUGCAUAGCCGACCUGAGAGGGUGAUCGGCCACAUUGGGACUGAGACACGGCCCAAACUCCUACGGGAGGCAGCAGUAGGGAAUCUUCGGCAAUGGACGAAAGUCUGACCGAGCAACGCCGCGUGAGUGAAGAAGGUUUUCGGAUCGUAAAACUCUGUUGUUAGAGAAGAACAAGGAUGAGAGUAACUGUUCAUCCCUUGACGGUAUCUAACCAGAAAGCCACGGCUAACUACGUGCCAGCAGCCGCGGUAAUACGUAGGUGGCAAGCGUUGUCCGGAUUUAUUGGGCGUAAAGCGAGCGCAGGCGGUUUCUUAAGUCUGAUGUGAAAGCCCCCGGCUCAACCGGGGAGGGUCAUUGGAAACUGGGAGACUUGAGUGCAGAAGAGGAGAGUGGAAUUCCAUGUGUAGCGGUGAAAUGCGUAGAUAUAUGGAGGAACACCAGUGGCGAAGGCGGCUCUCUGGUCUGUAACUGACGCUGANGCUCGAAAGCGUGGGG
rnacentral:rRNA from 1 species